rnacentral:rRNA from 1 species
CACGCAGGCGGUCUGUCAAGUCGGAUGUGAAAUCCCCGGGCUCAACCUGGGAACUGCAUUCAAAACUGACGAGCUAGAGUAUGGUAGAGGGUGGUGGAAUUUCCUGUGUAGCGGUGAAAUGCGUAGAUAUAGGAAGGAACACCAGUGGCGAAGGCGACCACCUGGACUGAUACUGACACUGAGGUGCGAAAGCGUGGGGAGCAAACAGGAUUAGAUACCCCGGUA